AGCGCAGACGGUUGAUUAAGUCUGAUGUGAAAGCCCGGAGCUCAACUCCGGAAUGGCAUUGGAAACUGGUUAACUUGAGUGUUGUAGAGGUAAGUGGAACUCCAUGUGUAGCGGUGGAAUGCGUAGAUAUAUGGAAGAACACCAGUGGCGAAGGCGGCUUACUGGACAACAACUGACGUUGAGGCUCGAAAGUGUGGUAGCAAACA
rnacentral:rRNA from 1 species